rnacentral:rRNA from 1 species
AGCAGCCGCGGUAAUUCCAGCUCCAAUAGCGUAUAUUAAAGUUGUUGCAGUUAAAAAGCUCGUAGUUGAAUUUCGGGGUCAGUAGGUUGGUCGUGCCACUGGUAUGUACUGGCUUCACUGAUUCCUCCCUCUUGUAGAACCGUAAUGCCAUUAAUUUGGUGUUGCGGGGAAACAGGACUGUUACUUUGAAAAAUUAGAGUGUUUAAAGCCGGCUAACGCUUGAAUACAUUAGCAUGGAAUAAUGAAAUAGGACGUUUGAUCCUAUUUUGUUGGUUUCUAGGAUUGACGUAAUGAUUAAUAGGGAUAGUUGGGGGCAUUAGUAUUCAAUUGUCAGAGGUGAAAUUCUUGGAUUUAUUGAAGACUAACUACUGCGAAAGCAUUUGCCAAGGAUGUUUUCAUUAAUCAAGAACGAAAGUUAGGGGAUCGAAGACGAUCAGAUACCGUCGUAGUCUUAACCAUAAACUAUGCCGACUAGGGAUCGGAUGAUGUUAAUUUUUAAUGUACUCAUUCGGCGCCUUAC